GCACCCAUAGUUCAAUGGAUAGAAUACUGGAUUCCGGUUCCAGCGAUUGGGGUUCGACUCCCCAUGGGUGUACCA
rnacentral:tRNA from 2 species